rnacentral:rRNA from 1 species
AGUCUGCAACUCGACUCCAUGAAGUCGGAAUCGCUAGUAAUCGCAAAUCAGUAUGUUGCGGUGAAUACGUUCCCGGGCCUUGUACACACCGCCCGUCACACCAUGGGAGUGGGCUGCAAAAGAAGCAGGUAGUUUAACCUUCGGGAGGACGCUUGCCACUUUGUGGUUCAUGACUGGGGUGAAGUCGUAACAAGGUAGCGCUAGGGGAACCUGGCGCUGGAUCACC